rnacentral:rRNA from 1 species
GGCCCACCAAGGCGACGAUCAGUAGCCGGACUGAGAGGUUGAACGGCCACAUUGGGACUGAGAUACGGCCCAGACUCCUACGGGAGGCAGCAGUGGGGAAUAUUGGGCAAUGGGGGAAACCCUGACCCAGCAACGCCGCGUGAAGGAAGAAGGCCUUCGGGUUGUAAAGAUCUUUAAUCAGGGACGAAAAAUGACGGUACCUGAAGAAUAAGCUCCGGCUAACUAC